UCCGCCCGCUGGCCGCGUGCCUAAUUCAUGCAACUAGAACGCUGAAGAGAGGAGCUUGCUCUUCUUGGAUGAGUUGCGAACGGGUGAGUAACGCGUAGGUAACCUGCCUGGUAGCGGGGGAUAAAUAUUGGAAAAGAUAGCUAAUACCGCAUAACAUUGAUUAUUGCAUGAUAAUUAAUUGAAAGAUGCACCUGCAUCACUACCAGAUGGACCUGCGUUGUAUUAGCUAGUUGGUGAGGUAACGGCUCACCAAGGCGACGAUACAUGGCCGACCUGAGAGGACGAUCGGCCACACUGGGACUGAGACACGGCCCAGACUCCUACGGGAGGCAGCAGGAGGGAAGCUUCGGCAAUGGGGGGAACCCUGACCGAGCAACGCCGCGUGAGUGAAGAAGGGUUUCGGAUCGUAAAGCUCUGUUGUAAGAGAUGAACGGGAGUGAGAGUGGAAAGUUCACACUGUGGGGGUAUCUUACCAGAGGGGGACGGGUAACUAGGUG
rnacentral:rRNA from 1 species